CACAUGCUGUGAGCUCGAUGAGUAGGGCGGGACACGUGGUAUCCUGUCUGAAUAUGGGGGGACCAUCCUCCAAGGCUAAAUACUCCUGACUGACCGAUAGUGAACCAGUACCGUGAGGGAAAGGCGAAAAGAACCCCGGCGAGGGGAGUGAAAAAGAACCUGAAACCGUGUACGUACAAGCAGUGGGAGCACGCUUAGGCGUGUGACUGCGUACCUUUUGUAUAAUGGGUCAGCGACUUAUAUUCUGUAGCAAGGUUAACCGAAUAGGGGAGCCCAAGGGAAACCGAGUCUUAACUGGGCGUUAAGUUGCAGGGUAUAGACCCGAAACCCGGUGAUCUAGCCAUGGGCAGGUUGAAGGUUGGGUAACACUAACUGGAGGACCGAACCGACUAAUGUUGAAAAAUUAGCGGAUGACUUGUGGCUGGGGGUGAAAGGCCAAUCAAACCGGGAGAUAGCUGGUUCUCCCCGAAAGCUAUUUAGGUAGCGCCUCGUGAAUUCAUCUCCGGGGGUAGAGCACUGUUUCGGCAAGGGGGUCAUCCCGACUUACCAACCCGAUGCAAACUGCGAAUACCGGAGAAUGUUAUCACGGGAGACACACGGCGGGUGCUAACGUCCGUCGUGAAGAGGGAAACAACCCAGACCGCCAGCUAAGGUCCCAAAGUCAUGGUUAAGUGGGAAACGAUGUGGGAAGGCCCAGACAGCCAGGAUGUUGGCUUAGAAGCAGCCAUCAUUUAAAGAAAGCGUAAUAGCUCACUGGUCGAGUCGGCCUGCGCGGAAGAUGUAACGGGGCUAAACCAUGCACCGAAGCUGCGGCAGCGACACUAUGUGUUGUUGGGUAGGGGAGCGUUCUGUAAGCCUGUGAAGGUGUACUGUGAGGUAUGCUGGAGGUAUCAGAAGUGCGAAUGCUGACAUAAGUAACGAUAAAGCGGGUGAAAAGCCCGCUCGCCGGAAGACCAAGGGUUCCUGUCCAACGUUAAUCGGGGCAGGGUGAGUCGACCCCUAAGGCGAGGCCGAAAGGCGUAGUCGAUGGGAAACAGGUUAAUAUUCCUGUACUUGGUGUUACUGCGAAGGGGGGACGGAGAAGGCUAUGUUGGCCGGGCGACGGUUGUCCCGGUUUAAGCGUGUAGGCUGGUUUUCCAGGCAAAUCCGGAAAAUCAAGGCUGAGGCGUGAUGACGAGGCACUACGGUGCUGAAGCAACAAAUGCCCUGCUUCCAGGAAAAGCCUCUAAGCAUCAGGUAACAUCAAAUCGUACCCCAAACCGACACAGGUGGUCAGGUAGAGAAUACCAAGGCGCUUGAGAGAACUCGGGUGAAGGAACUAGGCAAAAUGGUGCCGUAACUUCGGGAGAAGGCACGCUGAUAUGUAGGUGAAGCGACUUGCUCGUGGAGCUGAAAUCAGUCGAAGAUACCAGCUGGCUGCAACUGUUUAUUAAAAACACAGCACUGUGCAAACACGAAAGUGGACGUAUACGGUGUGACGCCUGCCCGGUGCCGGAAGGUUAAUUGAUGGGGUUAGCGGUAACGCGAAGCUCUUGAUCGAAGCCCCGGUAAACGGCGGCCGUAACUAUAACGGUCCUAAGGUAGCGAAAUUCCUUGUCGGGUAAGUUCCGACCUGCACGAAUGGCGUAAUGAUGGCCAGGCUGUCUCCACCCGAGACUCAGUGAAAUUGAACUCGCUGUGAAGAUGCAGUGUACCCGCGGCAAGACGGAAAGACCCCGUGAACCUUUACUAUAGCUUGACACUGAACAUUGAGCCUUGAUGUGUAGGAUAGGUGGGAGGCUUUGAAGUGUGGACGCCAGUCUGCAUGGAGCCGACCUUGAAAUACCACCCUUUAAUGUUUGAUGUUCUAACGUUGACCCCUAAUCGGGGUUGCGGACAGUGUCUGGUGGGUAGUUUGACUGGGGCGGUCUCCUCCUAAAGAGUAACGGAGGAGCACGAAGGUUGGCUAAUCCUGGUCGGACAUCAGGAGGUUAGUGCAAUGGCAUAAGCCAGCUUGACUGCGAGCGUGACGGCGCGAGCAGGUGCGAAAGCAGGUCAUAGUGAUCCGGUGGUUCUGAAUGGAAGGGCCAUCGCUCAACGGAUAAAAGGUACUCCGGGGAUAACAGGCUGAUACCGCCCAAGAGUUCAUAUCGACGGCGGUGUUUGGCACCUCGAUGUCGGCUCAUCACAUCCUGGGGCUGAAGUAGGUCCCAAGGGUAUGGCUGUUCGCCAUUUAAAGUGGUACGCGAGCUGGGUUUAGAACGUCGUGAGACAGUUCGGUCCCUAUCUGCCGUGGGCGCUGGAGAACUGAGGGGGGCUGCUCCUAGUACGAGAGGACCGGAGUGGACGCAUCACUGGUGUUCGGGUUGUCAUGCCAAUGGCACUGCCCGGUAGCUAAAUGCGGAAGAGAUAAGUGCUGAAAGCAUCUAAGCACGAAACUUGCCCCGAGAUGAGUUCUCCCUGACCCUUUAAGGGUCCUGAAGGAACGUUGAAGACGACGACGUUGAUAGGCCGGGUGUGUAAGCGCAGCGAUGCGUUGAGCUAACCGGUACUAAUGAACCGUGAGGCUUAACCUU
rnacentral:rRNA from 2 species